AACAAUUUUCCUUCUCUCAUCUUCUGACAUUCAGAGUUUUCCCCAUCUGUAAAUCCUAACCGCCAUCGCAGAAGUCGCCAUCAUCAUGAUUCCACCACAAUCCAUCACGCUUGCCGCCAACACCGUUACAUCCACCACACUUACGUUCGCCCUCAAUACCAUGACCACAACUCAACCAACACCGAUAACGUCUUAUCCGAUGGAUUUGGAAGCCAUUACAGGAGGGAAGGCUAAGUAAUCUCCAUGAAAAUUGAGCCCAGGUCAAGCACUGGGGUCUAGCCGGCCCUAAAAAUUGGAAGAGGCGAGAGUGUUAUAGGACUAGCUCUAUAACAUUCAAAUAAGGAUUGAUUGUACAGUCCAGGAUUUGCUACUUUUGUCAUGGUUUCUAUUUUUUUAUUGUUGUGUGACUUAUUUUCCCAUUUCAGUUGUCUUUUGUUGGUGAGUAAGGAUCGAUAUUAACGUGCUUGCGGGGAC
rnacentral:lncRNA from 1 species